GGAGACAGAGUAGAGUUAGUAGAGGUCAUGUAGUGUAGAACAGCAGAGAGGAGACAGAGUAGAGUUAGUAGAGGUCAUGUAGUGUAGAACAGCAGGGAGGAGACAGAGUAGAGUUAGUAGAGGUCAUGUAGUGUAGAACAACAGAGUAGAGUUAGUAGAGGUCAUGUAGUGUAGAACAACAGGGAGGAGACAGAGUAGAGUUAGUAGAGGUCAUGUAGUGUAGAACAACAGGGAGGAGACAGAGUAGAGUUAGUAGAGGUCAUGUAGUGUAGAACAACAGGGAGGAGGAGACAGAGUAGAGUUAGUAGAGGUCAUGUAGUGUAGAACAGCAGGGAGGAGGAGACAGAGUAGAGUUAGUAGAGGUCAUGUAGUGUAGAACAGCAGGGAGGAGGAGACAGAGUAGAGUUAGUAGAGGUCAUGUAGUGUAGAACAACAGGGAGGAGACAGAGUAGAGUUAGUAGAGGUCAUGUAGUGUAGAACAACAGGGAGGAGGAGACAGAGUAGAGUUAGUAGAGGUCAUGUAGUGUAGAACAACAGGGAGGAGACAGAGUAGAGUUAGUAGAGGUCAUGUAGUGUAGAACAACAGGGAGGAGGAGACAGAGUAGAGUUAGUAGAGGUCAUGUAGUGUAGAACAGCAGGGAGGAGGAGACAGAGUAGAGUUAGUAGAGGUCAUGUAGUGUAGAACAACAGGGAGGAGGAGACAGAGGAGAGUUAGUAGAGGUC